AACGUAGGAGGCGAGCGUUAUCCGGAUUUACUGGGUGUAAAGCGCGUGUAGGCGGUCCUGCAAGUGGUGCGUGAAAGCGCCCGGCUCAACCGGGCGAGGACGUGGGCGAACUGCAGGGCUAGAGGCAGGUAGAGGCGUGUGGAAUUCCGGGUGUAGUGGUGAAAUGCGUAGAGAUCCGGAGGAACACCAGUGGCGAAGGCGACACGCUGGGCCUGGCCUGACGCUGAGAGGCGAAAGCAUGGGGAGCGAACGGGAUUAGAAACCCUUGUAGUCC
rnacentral:rRNA from 1 species